ensembl:snRNA U2 U2 spliceosomal RNA
GUCUCUUGGACCUUGAAGUAAAAGUAUUGUCUAAGUUCUAUCUGUUCUUAUCAGUUUAAUAUCUGAUAUGUCCUUUAUCUGAGGACUGUGUAUUAAAUUGAUUAAUCCCAAACCAGCACACACUUGGUCAUCAGCUCCUCCGCCUGUUCUUUCUUCAGGUGGCUCUACACAGUCAGCCACCAGGGGGCAGGGCAG